rnacentral:rRNA from 1 species
UACAGAGACUGCAAGCGUUAUUCGGAUUUACUGGGCGUAAAGGGCGCGUAGGCGGCCAGCACAAGUCAGUUGUGAAAUCUCCGAGCUUAACUCGGAAAGGUCAACUGAUACUGUGCGGCUAGAGUGCGGAAGGGGCAACUGGAAUUCUUGGUGUAGCGGUGAAAUGCGUAGAUAUCAAGAGGAACACCUGCGGCGAAGGCGGGUUGCUGGGCCGACACUGACGCUGAGGCGCGAAAGCCAGGGGAGCGAACGGG